rnacentral:rRNA from 1 species
GACGAACCGUGCGAACGUUAUUCGGAAUCACUGGGCUUAAAGCGCGUGUAGGCGGGCCGGCACGUCGGUCGCUGAAAUCCCGCGGCUCAACCGCGGAAGGGGCGCCGAUACGACCGGCCUGGAGGGGGGUAGGGGGCGCCGGAACUCACGGUGGAGCGGUGAAAUGCGUUGAGAUCGUGAGGAACGCCCGUGGCGAAAGCGGGCGCCUGGACCCCGCCUGACGCUGAGACGCGAAAGCCAGGGGAGCGAACGGG